UACAGAGGGUGCAAGCGUUGUCCGGAUUUAUUGGGCGUAAAGAGCGUGUAGGCGGCUGGGUAGGUCCGUUGUGAAAACUCGAGGCUCAACCUCGAGACGCCGAUGGAAACCCUCCAGCUAGAGUCCGGAAGAGGAGAGUGGAAUUCCUGGUGUAGCGGUGAAAUGCGUAGAUAUCUGGAGGAACACCGGUGGCGAAGGCGGCAUCCUGGACCGGCAUUGACGCUGAGGCGCGAAAGCCAGGGGAGCAAACGGG
rnacentral:rRNA from 1 species